GACGAACGCUGGCGGCGUGCUUAACACAUGCAAGUCGAACGAAGAGCGAUGGAAGCUUGCUUCUAUCAAUCUUAGUGGCGAACGGGUGAGUAACGCGUAAUCAACCUGCCCUUCAGAGGGGGACAACAGUUGGAAACGACUGCUAAUACCGCAUACGAUCUAAUCUCGGCAUCGAGGAUAGAUGAAAGGUGGCCUCUACAUGUAAGCUAUCACUGAAGGAGGGGAUUGCGUCUGAUUAGCUAGUUGGAGGGGUAACGGCCCACCAAGGCGAUGAUCAGUAGCCGGUCUGAGAGGAUGAACGGCCACAUUGGGACUGAGACACGGCCCAGACUCCUACGGGAGGCAGCAGUGGGGAAUCUUCCGCAAUGGACGAAAGUCUGACGGAGCAACGUCGCGUGAGUGAUGACGGCCUUCGGGUUGUAAAGCUCUGUUAAUCGGGACGAAAGGCCUUCUUGCGAAUAGUGAGAAGGAUUGACGGUACCGGAAUAGAAAGCCACGGCUAACUACGUG
rnacentral:rRNA from 1 species